rnacentral:rRNA from 1 species
AGAGUUUGAUCCUGGCUCAGAAUCAACGCUGGCGGCGCGCUUAACACAUGCAAGUCGAACGAGAAAGGGGAGCAAUCCCUGAGUACAGUGGCGUACGGGUGAGUAACACGUGGGUAUUUACACUUUAGUGGGGAAUAACUCUGGGAAACCGGAGCUAAUACCGCAUAAGCCUGAGAAGGGAAAGCCGCAAGGCGCUGAAGAAGGAGCCCGCGGCCGAUUAGCUAGUUGGUAGGGUAACGGCCUACCAAGGCGGUGAUCGGUAGCCGGCCUGAGAGGGCACACGGCCACACUGGCACUGAAACACGGGCCAGACUCCUACGGGAGGCAGCAGUGGGGAAUCUUGCACAAUGGAGGCAACUCUGAUGCAGCGACGCCGCGUGAGCGAUGAAGCCCUUCGGGGUGUAAAGCUCUUUCGACGGGAACGAUAAUGACGGUACCCGGAGAAGAAGCUGCGGCUAACUACGUGCCAGCAGCCGCGGUAAUACGUAGGCAGCAAGCGUUGUUCGGAAUUACUGGGCGUAAAGAGUGUGUAGGCGGUGCUCUAAGUUCGUUGUGAAAUCUCCCGGCUUAACUGGGAGGGUGCGGCGGAAACUGGAGUGCUCGAGCGUGGGAGAGGAAAGCGGAAUUCCUGGUGUAGCGGUGAAAUGCGUAGAUAUCAGGAGGAACACCUGUGGUGUAGACAGUUUUCUGGACCAUAGCUGACGCUGAGACACGAAAGCGUGGGUAGCAAACAGGAUUAGAUACCCUGGUAGUCC